UGUCUAAGUCCAUCGGAAAAUCAUCGUUU
rnacentral:sRNA from 1 species